UCCACCGUGAGGUGGAAUCUGAAGGAAGCCGGCGGCAAAAUUCUGGUCUGACGAACAGAAACUGCAUAUAAGGCUUAAGAUUGCCGGAUGAGUUUGCCUAACAAAACGAAGUCCGAUACUGUCCGGGGCAAUCAAAGUAAAUGCAGCAGAUAGAUGGGAUGAAAGUUAUCGUU
rfam:Desulfobacterales bacterium S5133MH4 k99_430045, whole genome shotgun sequence.